rnacentral:rRNA from 1 species
GACGAACGCUGGCGGCGUGCUUAACACAUGCAAGUCGAACGGAAAGGCCCUGCUUUUGUGGGGUGCUCGAGUGGCGAACGGGUGAGUAACACGUGAGUAACCUGCCCUUGACUUUGGGAUAACUUCAGGAAACUGGAGCUAAUACCGGAUAGGAGCUCCUGCUGCAUGGUGGGGGUUGGAAAGUUUCGGCGGUUGGGGAUGGACUCGCGGCUUAUCAGCUUGUUGGUGGGGUAGUGGCUUACCAAGGCUUUGACGGGUAGCCGGCCUGAGAGGGUGACCGGCCACAUUGGGAUUGAGAUACGGCCCAGACUCCUACGGGAGGCAGCAGUGGGGAAUAUUGCACAAUGGGCGGAAGCCUGAUGCAGCAACGCCGCGUGCGGGAUGACGGCCUUCGGGUUGUAAACCGCUUUCGCCUGUGACGAAGCGUGAGUGACGGUAAUGGGUAAAGAAGCACCGGCUAACUACGUG